AAUAAAUAUAUAGCCUCAAAAUUAGAAUUGUUUUAAUUUGAUGUCAAUACAACAGGAUUAGGUUAUAGGGACACAUAUUUGGGACACUUCUGAGUAAAUGUCUCAUUUAUGCUAAAACUUAAAAAAAUAUUUACUAAUACCUAAAUAUAAAGCCCAAUCCAACCAAAAAUAAAAGAUUAUUCUAUUCAACCCAACACACCUAGUCUAUUUGGCCCGAUUACAAAUAGAAAAGAAAAAAAAAAGAAAAAUCAAUUACCAUCUUUUCUUCUCUCUUUACUCGAUCCACUGAAAUUAUAGACGAAGAGCCUUUCCUGUCGUCCUCCUCCGCCACCGCAGCCAACGAGAUAGAGUUUCGACUGUUGCUAAAUACUUAAAUAAGUGUUGGUAAAUUAGCAGCACUCUUUUAGGUUAUAGCGACAUUCUUUAACUGUCACUAUAUACCUAGCGACCCCACAUAUAGCAACACUUUUUAAAAGUGUCGGUAAUUUUAGUUAGCAGUACUAUUUUGACAUGUACCUAUAUUUAAAAGUGUCGCUAUAGACCGUUUUUGCUGUAGUGUCGAUUACUAUCUCCCCUUCUCCUCUCACUUAAUCCACUAAAAUUCUAGACGAAGGGCCCUUCCCUCUCGUCCUCCUCAGUCACCGCAACCAACGAGGUAGAGUUCCGACGGUUGCUAGAUACUUAAAUAAGUGUUGCUAAAUUAGUAGCACUUUUUUAGGUUAUAGCGACACUCUUUAACUGUCGUUAUAUAUCUAGUGACCCCACAUAUAGCAACACUUUUUAAAAGUGUCGGUAAUUUAGCCAGCAGCACUUUUUUUGACCUAUACCGACAUUUAAAAGUGUCGCUAUAGACCGUUUUUGUUGUAGUGAACUUUGACUGACUGACCUGCCUCACUUUCCAGGAGGUCAUUCAUUCUAACACGCUUAACCUUCUUAAUUUCUUAGACUUAACCACUGUCCUACAUGUUAUAGUCGGAUUUAGAAACUCAUAACCACCUGCCAUAUGAGAUUUAUCUCACUAGCCUUAGCCGAUCCGCCCCACUUCCCACAGAGGUCACUCAUCCAAAAAUUACUCCAGUUCUAACACACUUAACCUUUUUAAUCUCUUAAAUCUAACUACCACCCAACAAGCGAUUGCCGAAUUAAAAAUUUUG
rnacentral:lncRNA from 1 species